ACUCGGUCGAUUUUUGAGAAUUUGCGUAAAAUACUAAUUUGUAUCUUAAGAUAAAGAUACUAAGUUGAUUAUGUAAAUCCGAGUAUGCAUGGUUGUCUGGUGUGUUACGUUUAGUAUGCUAUCCAUUAGCUUGUACACUGUUCUCCAAACCAUUUCAUUUUUUUUAUGAAAUUACCAAUUGGUUUGUAAUAAGUUGCUUUUUAGUUAAUUUAACGAGCAUUACUGUUGCUGCUCAUCUUGCAUGGCUAUCGUUUCGAACCGAUCAUAUAAAAUAUUCGACGAAACAAUCGCAUAAUAGGAGCUAGUCAAAGAAAUUUUAAAUUUUUGUACAAUUUCUUGAGGGCAGCUUAGUUUUGUUUGAUGGGAUGACAAAUC